rnacentral:misc_RNA from 1 species
UGUUUAACACAAGACCCGGCCCAACUGGUGGCCGGAUCGACCGGGAAGACGAAGGGUCGCGCGCGCUUCACGUCGCUUCGCACGACAUUUGCCGGCGUUCCAGGCGGCGGCCGACGAGCUGGGUGGCUGGGGAGGCGCGCCGGCGGGCUAGGGUGGCUGGGGAGGCGGCUGGCCAGCGAGGGGAGGUGGGAGGAGAGAGAAAACGG